AUGAACAAAACUCUUGAUGAAGCAUUUGCAUUGAUUGAAAGUAUGGCGUCUCAUCAUUUCCAAUGGUCGAGUGAAAGAGCAAUAGCACCACCACAUCCUGGUGUGUACAAUGUGUCUGCAAAUGAUAUCAUGGCAGCUCAGAUUGACAUAUUGAACAAGAAGAUGGACAAUAUCAUGUCAAAUUGCAUCAGUGCAUCUGUAGCUUCAGUAAGUGUGCCUCAAAUGUGUGAUGUAUGUGGCCAAGUAGGUCAUCCUUCAACAGAAUGUACCUUCUACUCAGCAAUCGGAUCAUCAGUUUGA
rnacentral:rRNA from 1 species